CGCGUAGGCGGGCGGCCAAGUCAGGGGUGAAAGCGUACGGCUCAACCGUACAAGAGCCUUUGAGACUGGUCGUCUUGAGGGAGGUAGGGGCAGGCGGAACUUCCGGUGGAGCGGUGAAAUGCGUAGAUAUCGGAAGGAACGCCGGUGGCGAAAGCGGCCUGCUGGACCUUCACUGACGCUGAGGCGCGAAAGCCAGGGGAGCAAACGGGAUUAGAUACCCCGGUAGUCCUGGCCCUAAACGAUGAGGAUUAGGUAGUGGACUUGACAUGGGUUCACUGCCGAAGCCAAAGUGGUAAGUCCUCCGCCUGGGGAGUAUGGUCGCAAGGCUGAA
rnacentral:rRNA from 1 species